GACGAACGCUGGCGGCGUGCUUAACACAUGCAAGUCGAACGAAGAGCGAUGGAAGCUUGCUUCUAUCAAUCUUAGUGGCGAACGGGUGAGUAACGCGUAAUCAACCUGCCCUUCAGAGGGGGACAACAGUUGGAAACGACUGCUAAUACCGCAUACGAUCUAAUCUCGGCAUCGAGGAUAGAUGAAAGGUGGCCUCUACAUGUAAGCUAUCACUGAAGGAGGGGAUUGCGUCUGAUUAGCUAGUUGGAGGGGUAACGGCCCACCAAGGCGAUGAUCAGUAGCCGGUCUGAGAGGAUGAACGGCCACAUUGGGACGGAGACACGGCCCAGACUCCUACGGGAGGCAGCAGUGGGGAAUCUUCCGCAAUGGACGAAAGUCUGACGGAGCAACGCCGCGUGAGCGAUGACGGCCUUCGGGUUGUAAAGCUCUGUUAAUCGGGACGAAAGGCCUUCUUGCGAAUAGUGAGAAGGAUUGACGGUACCGGAAUAGAAAGCCACGGCUAACUACGUG
rnacentral:rRNA from 1 species